UACGUAGGGUGCAAGCGUUAAUCGGAAUUACUGGGCGUAAAGCGUGCGCAGGCGGUUAUGUAAGACAGAUGUGAAAUGCCCGGGCUUAACCUGGGAACUGCAUUUGUGACUGCAUGGCUAGAGUUUGGCAGAGGGGGGGUAGAAUUCCACGUGUAGCAGUGAAAUGCGUAGAUAUCGGGAGGAACACCAGUGGCGAAGGCGACUACCUGGCCUGUUCUUGACGCUGAGGCGCGAAAGCUAGGGGAGCAAACGGG
rnacentral:rRNA from 1 species